CAGCCGCCACGGGAAUACGUAGGUGGCAAGCGUUGUCCGGAGUUAUUGGGCGUAAAGGGCUCGCAGGCGGUUUCUUAAGUCUGAUGUGAAAGCCCCCGGCUCAACCGGGGAGGGUCAUUGGAAACUGGGAAACUUGAGUGCAGAAGAGGAGAGUGGAAUUCCACGUGUAGCGGUGAAAUGCGUAGAGAUGUGGAGGAACACCAGUGGCGAAGGCGACUCUCUGGUCUGUAACUGACGCUGAGGAGCGAAAGCGUGGGGAGCGAACGGGAUUAGAGACCCCGGUAGUCCCUGUCUCUUAUAC
rnacentral:rRNA from 1 species